AAAUCAUGAUGAGGGCAGUCUCUCUCGUAUUCUUUAAAUCGCUCCCAGGCUUCAUAGAAUGAUACUACUUUGCCUUGUUGGAAACUUUGUAUCUUGUUUCUCAGCU
rfam:Eutrema salsugineum unplaced genomic scaffold scaffold_6, whole genome shotgun sequence.